rnacentral:rRNA from 1 species
GACGAACGCUGGCGGCGUGCUUAACACAUGCAAGUCGAACGGAAAGGCCCUGCUUUUGUGGGGUGCUCGAGUGGCGAACGGGUGAGUAACACGUGAGUAACCUGCCCUUGACUUUGGGAUAACUUCAGGAAACUGGGGCUAAUACCGGAUAGGAGCUCCUGCUGCAUGGUGGGGGUUGGAAAGUUUCGGCGGUUGGGGAUGGACUCGCGGCUUAUCAGCUUGUUGGUGGGGUAGUGGCUUACCAAGACUUUGACGGGUAGCCGGCCUGAGAGGGUGACCGGCAACAUUGGGACUGAGAUACGGCCCAGACUCCUACGGGAGGCAGCAGUGGGGAAUAUUGCACAAUGGGCGGAAGCCUGAUGCAGCAACGCCGCGUGCGGGAUGACGGCCUUCUGGUUGUAAACCGCUUUCGCCUGUGACGAAGCGUGAGUGACGGUAAUGGGUAAAGAAGCACCGGCUAACUACGUG